GACGAACGCUGGCGGCGUGCUUAACACAUGCAAGUCGAACGGAAAGGCCUGCUUUCCCUUGUGGAUUGCGGGUACUCGAGUGGCGAACGGGUGAGUAACACGUGAGUGAUCUGCCCCCAACUUGGGUAUAAGCCUGGGAAACUGGGCCUAAUUCCCGAUAGGACUGCAGGGUGGUGCCUGUGGUGGAAAACGAUUUUCUAGUGGUUGGGGAUGAGCUCGCGGCCUAUCAGCUUGUUGGUGGGGUAAUGGCCUACCAAGGCGGCGACGGGUAGCCGGCCUGAGAGGGUGGACGGGCACAUUGGGACUGAGAUACGGCCCAGAGUCCUACGGGAGGCAGCAGUGGGGAAUAGUGCACAAUGGGCGGAAGCCUGAUGCAGCGACGCAGCGUGGGGGAUGACGGCCUUCGGGUUGUAAACUCCUUUCGACCGCGAGGAAGCCACCUGGUUGGAAGGGUGGUGACGGUAGUGGCAGAAGAAGCACCGGCUAACUACGUG
rnacentral:rRNA from 1 species